AUGGUCUGGGUUGGAAAGGUUUACUGGUGCGAGAUGGGCCCGCGGCCUAUCAGCUUGUUGGUGGGGUAACGGCCCACCAAGGCGACGACGGGUAGCCGACCUGAGAGGGUGACCGGCCACACUGGGACUGAGACACGGCCCAGACUCCUACGGGAGGCAGUAGUGGGGAAUAUUGCACAAUGGGCGAAAGCCUGAUGCAGCGACGCCGCGUGAGGGAUGACGGCCUUCGGGUUGUAAACCUCUUUUGACAGGGACGAAGCGCAAGUGACGGUACCUGUAGAAGAAGCACCGGCCAACUACGUGCCAGCAGCCGCGGUAAUACGUAGGGUGCGAGCGUUGUCCGGAAUUACUGGGCGUAAAGAGCUUGUAGGCGGUCUGUCACGUCGAUUGUGAAAACUUGCAGCUCAACUGCAAGCUUGCAGUCGAUACGGGCAGACUAGAGUACUUCAGGGGAGACUGGAAUUCCUGGUGUAGCGGUGAAAUGCGCAGAUAUCAGGAGGAACACCGGUGGCGAAGGCGGGUCUCUGGGAAGUAACUGACGCUGAGAAGCGAAAGCGUGGGUAGCGAACAGGAUUAGAUACCCUGGUAGUCCACGCCGUAAACGGUGGGUACUAG
rnacentral:rRNA from 1 species